CAUGAUGAUCACACUGACCUCUCCAGCUGGAUCCCGGGCCACAUCCUCCUCACACUUUACACGCUAGUAAACCAGAUCUGCUUUUCAUCCUCAUAUAAAUAUAUUACUGGUCACACAGAGCAGACGCUAAGGGCUGAAUGGAACACGGAUGAUGGCAGAUUUUCUUAAAGAGGGGCAUACCUGUAACCCGCCAGGUUGGUGGCCCCAAUUCUACAGGAGCCCCUGGUUGCAGAUUUCUAAAGCAGCUGGAGCUAUGAGUUGCUGCCUGAGGCCCCCAAUGAGAACUGGAGGGCCCCAGGCUCUUCCCACGGGAUCCUUGAUCAUGUUCUCAGUUCCUCCUCCAGAAACGUGGGGCUAAAAUAAGCCCAGAGGCUGAGGAAUGGGCAGCGAGAAUAAUUCCAGAUUGGUUAUGCAUCCCGGUGCCUCCACAUAAUUGAGAGAAAAAUCAUUCACACACAGUGAUGGGGGCCACUCAACCGAGAAAAUUUCCAAUACCAAGAGCAAGAGACUGAAUAAUUCCUAAGAGUUAAGAUGCUAUUCCUAUUAUGCUCGCCAUCUCAUAUAUUUA
rnacentral:lncRNA from 1 species